rnacentral:rRNA from 1 species
GAGGGCCCCGCACAAGCAGCGGAGCGUGUGGUUUAAUUCGAUGAUACACGAAGAACCUUACCAGGGUUUGACAUGCUAGUGGUAGGGAUCCGAAAGGUGACCGACCCUCGGGGAGCUAGCACAGGUGCUGCAUGGCUGUCGUCAGCUCGUGUCGUGAGAUGUUCGGUUAAGUCCGCUAACGAGCGCAACCCUUGCUGUGUGUUACAUGUGUCACACGGGACUGCCGGUCUUAAACCGGAGGAAGGUGGGAUGACGUCAAGUCAGCAUGGCCUUUAUGUCCUGGGCUACACACACGCUACAAUGGCCGGUACAAUAGGUUGCGAAGCCGCGAGGCGGAGCCAAUCCUCAAAGCCGGCCUCAGUUCAGAUUGCAGGCUGCAACCCGCCUGCAUGAAGAUGGAGUUGCUAGUAACCGCAGGUCAGCUAUACUGCGGUGAAUACGUUCCCGGGGCUU